rnacentral:rRNA from 1 species
GAUGAACGCUAGCGGCAGGCUUAAUACAUGCAAGUCGAGGGGCAGCGCGGGUAGCAAUACCUGGCGGCGACCGGCAAACGGGUGCGGAACACGUACGCAACCUUCCUCCGAGCGGGGCAUAGCCCAGAGAAAUUUGGAUUAAUACCCCAUAUCAUAGUUAAGAAGCAUUCUUGAUUAUUAAAGAUUUAUCACUUGGAGAUGGGCGUGCGGCUGAUUAGGUAGUUGGCGGGGUAACGGCCACCAAGCCUACGAUCAGUAGCUGAUGUGAGAGCAUGAUCAGCCACACGGGCACUGAGACACGGGCCCGACUCCUACGGGAGGCAGCAGUAAGGAA